GAGUGUAUAGCGCAGAGGUAGAGUGCAUGCUUAGCAUGCACGAGGUCCUGGGUUCAAUCCCCAGUACCUCU
rnacentral:tRNA from 1 species